rfam:Ictidomys tridecemlineatus contig045319, whole genome shotgun sequence.
GGGGAUGUAGUUCAGUGGUAGAGCACUCGCCUAGCACGUGCGAGGCCCUGGGUUCAAUCCCCAGUACCACCA